GUACAACGCCUAGGAGGACCACCAUGGGAUUUACGCAAUCGCUCAAUGCCCUCGUGAUCUGUGCAGCGUUCAUGUUUGUCGGCGCACUGCUUUUCAUCUAGCUGUGUAAAGCGCCGCCACGAUGGGAAAAGUUCAAUGACGGGAGCGUUUCGGCGCUCCCGUUUU
rnacentral:sRNA from 1 species